AUGCAUACGUAUAGACAUAUAAAUAGAUCGAUUGCAUUGCCCUUUUCUGGUAUCCAUAAAAUAAGGAGACAUAUCGCAUUUUCGGAGACGGAGGGUGCAUGUUCAAUUUUAGCAGGGGCAUGCACAGGCUCUGAACACAUACUACAAGGCCAAACAGGGCACCGGAAAAGGUGGACGCCGAAGAGGGCCACGCUGCAUGCGCGCCAUGAAUGCCAUUUCCGGCCACCGCUAUCUCCGCCCGUUCCUCCUCGCCUCCUACUAGUUUCUUCGUCGCUCUCCCCUUCUUCUUCCCCCCUCCGAUCAUCCAAUGAUCGCAGAAGAGUAGUAUAA
rnacentral:rRNA from 1 species